UAUUAUUAUUAUUAUAUCUCCCUCCUUCAGCAAGCUGAGGUGAGACAGGGCAGCUUAAUUCAAUAAUACUGGUCCAGAGCCACCAGAAUGUUCCAGAAGGGUCUCCCUCAUCUGUCCUGGUUUCUAUACUAUUUCCCUCACAGCCCUUGUUUCCUCAUUUUUCAUUCUCAUCUUUGCCUUGCCCGUCUGAGCAGCUCCAGCAGCCAGCGAGGGCAACGGUCACAGAGGAUGAGGGGAGCUGGAGUCCAGCAAAGUCUGGAAGGUGUUGAACUACCCCAGCAUUUGAUGUUUCCACUAUCCCUUUGGAACUCACUGCCUCCUGAUAUCAGGGCACCAGGUCUUCCCGCUCCUUCACUUCCAUUGCCUGCUUCUCCAGGUGCUGCAUGAGGGCGUCUCGAUCCAAUGGACCCGUCGGGCUCUUCUUGGUCUGGUCUCGUUGCCGGAAACCCGCCGGGAGCAUCACAUUCUGUGAGGCAGAGCAGAAUGGGGGGGCCAAACAAAUGCCGCUGGGAAGCUUCGUCUUUCCCAGAUUCACCUGAGCCAACAUCCCAUUGCCACACGCCAGGUUUAGACAUAAGAAUGUGAGACGGGCCAAGCUGCUUCAUCUAAUCCAGCCUCGUCCCUCAGCCCAGCAGCACAAAGCAGGUAGGAAAGAGCCUUUUCCUUUGUUUGCUCUCCAGAAUCUGGUGCUCUCUUAGGCGGACUGGCCCUGAAAGACCCAUUCCAGCCAUCGGGACUUACAACCCUCGAUAGGCCUCUGAAUUUGUCUCAUCCCGUUUUUAAAGCCGGUUUAAGUCAGCACCCAUCACCUCCACAUCUUGUGGCGGUGAGUUCUGCACAUCAGUUUCACCCAGCCACCCCAUAUUCUAGUAUUAUGCAAUGCUGGAAGGUGGUGGGCUCUCCUUCCUUGGAGGUUUUCAAGCGGAUGUUGGAAUGGCCAUUUGACAGGAAUACUUUAGUCGUGGUUCCUGCAUUUCAGGGGAUUGGACUGGAUGACCUUUGGGAACCCCUUCCAACUCUACAUCUCUAUGAUUCAUUAAGCAGACAGACUCUUGGUUUCCCCUGUCUCCACACUGCUCGUGAUUUAAUAGAUCUCUAUGCGGACUCUUCUUAGGGUUUUUUCUUUUUCCUCCUCCUCCUCCUCCCCUCCACCUCUAAUCUAAAACGUACCCAAGGAAGGAAGAUUUUACAUCCAUAACAAAAACAAACACAGAGAGAGAAGCCAGUUCUCUUUUGACACCCUCUUGCUCCCAUCCUGGGUCUGGAGAUCUGCCCUGCCAGGUGGUCUAGCAUUGUGCGAGGGUUAAUUAACAGGGAGGAGGGGGCUUAGCUGGACUUCCGAGUAGGAAGCAAGGACACAGCGACCCGGAGCCCUCCGGGAAACCUGCCACACCAUCUCUGCAUUCAGUGUGGCGCUAGAGUCACUCCCUUCAGUGCCUGUGAAUAAUACUAGGCUCUGGGAUUUACAAGCGGGGAGACUUGCUGCUGCUGUGCUCGGGUGCUGCUUGUGGGCUUCCUAUUCGGGGCAUCUGAUUGGCCACUGUGGAAACAGGAUGCUGGACUAGACGGGCCCCCAUUGGCCUGGUCCAGCAGCCAGGCUAUUUUGAUGUCCUAAUAGAACCUCCAGGUCCAGAGGCAGUCUAUCUAGAUCCAUAAGUUCAUUGGGUGUUUGGCCACAGACACUGGAGUGGAUGGGCCCCCCUUUGGCCCUUGGGGCCCCUUACAAUUCUACGGUUCCAUUAUUCUACGCAUUGCCUCUAAUGUGGUCCUAAUGCGGACACUGAGUGUGCAGGAGCCCUUUGCAAAGUUUAAAUGACUUUCCUGAGCUACAGCCCCUUAUGCUUGCAGAGAUCCCUUUCCAAAUCCCCAAGACUCUG